CUCCUGGUGUGCGGACCUCUCACACUCCCUCCAGUACCCAGUUCUCGGUGCUUCUCCCCGCGGGUUCACCAUCCACCCCUCCUCCCGUGUCAGCGCCCGAAGACACCAUCACCCUCUUGUGAGCACGUACGGAUAUAGUGACAAACUGACCAGUACUACGCUGACGAUGAACACUCGCCAGGAAAAUAUAAUAAUGUGAAGAAUUCUGAUUUUUUUUUAUUACUGCUAGUGGUGUGACUGGGACCCCCAUCCCCUAAAAAUAUCUGAACUGAAGAACAGUCAUCUGGAUUCGACUGAUAAACUGAUGAAAAUCUCAAAUGUGAAGAAAAAUACAACAUGAAAAGAUCUAAAAGUUGGCUAGGAGGAGUAAACAACAAGGCAGCCGCCAACAAGUCGCUCUUUAGGGUGGGAUGUGAAGGCUGUCCGUCACUGACGCUGCGGUGAGGGAGACAGAGGACCUCCUAGGGCGGUGCCUCUGGGCUCAGCAGGAGACGACCUCCACACAGUAGCCGCUCCACACCAACACGCCAGGCGAGAAGACACAAGGAGCUGAUCUCCCCCUGUGGCUGUGAUGAAGUAGUGUCGCCAGCUCGGCCAAGAUGAGAUCAGGUCGGGUAGAGGGUGAGGCAGGCGUGAAACUCAUGGUGAAGAGCCACUACUGAACACCCGCCACGCUCGUCAACCUCAGCCA